UACGUAGGGGGCAAGCGUUGUCCGGAAUCAUUGGGCGUAAAGAGCGUGUAGGCGGUCCGAUAAGUCCGCUCUGAAAGCCCGGGGCUCAACCCCGGGAGGCGGGCGGAUACUGUCGGGCUAGAGUCCGGAAGAGGCAAGUGGAAUUCCUGGUGUAGCGGUGAAAUGCGCAGAUAUCGAGGAGGAACACCGAUGGCGAAGGCAGCUUGGCUGGGACGGUACUGCGCUGAGACGCGAAGCGUGGGGAGCAAACAGG
rnacentral:rRNA from 1 species